rnacentral:rRNA from 1 species
UAGGGAAUAUUGCUUAAUGGGCGAAAGCCUGAAGCAGCAACGCCGCGUGAACGAAGAAGGCCUUCGGGUCGUAAAGUUCUUUUAUAUGGGAUGAGGAAGGACAGUACCAUAUGAAUAAGUCUCGGCUAACUACGUGCCAGCAGCCGCGGUAAAACGUAGGAGACGAGCGUUAUCCGGAUUUACUGGGCGUAAAGAGCGUGUAGGAGGCAAUACAAGUUGGAUGUGAAAGCUCCCGGCUUAACUGGGAGAGGUCGUUCAAGACUGUAUAGCUAGAGGAAGGCAGAGGUAGAUGGAACUCCGGGAGUAGUGGUGAAAUGCGUAGAUAUCCGGAAGAACACCAGAGGCGAAAGCGAUCUACUGGGCCUUUACUGACACUGAGACGCGAAAGCCAGGGUAGCAAACGG